AACCAAGAUCCUUGUUAUAACUCAACCAAGAUAAAUACCCUAAUUUAUAUAUACUGGAAUAUUUAACAAGGUGAAUACCCUAACUUCAUAUAUACUGGAAUAUUUAAUAAGGUGAAUACCCUAACUUCAUAUAUACUGGAAUAUUUAACAAGGAGAAUACCCUAAUUUCAUAUAUACUGGAAUCUCCUGAUUAAAAACAAUGAGUAGAAAAAUAAUAGCGGAAGCAUACCUGAAUCCAUUGAAGAAGAAACCUUAUAGGAAGAAAACCCUUUGAGAUGGUCUUCCAAUUCUAGUCACUAGAUUCUGUGUCAAUUUCUCUCUGAGAGGAUUUUUAGAAAUUGGAAUGCGUAGUCGUAGAAUGGGGACCAUAACCCUAUUUAUAAACCGCUAGGGCAGUUUUAAUUUUAUCACAAUUAUAUUUCUGCCCCUUAUAGAAAUAAUAAUUGUCUAAUGGUAUCUACACAAUAAUCUCAUGACAAUUAUACCCUUAAGCUAAUUAAUCAAUUAUUAAUUAGAUCACUAUAUUUAGGCUUAAUUAAAUGAUAGCACACACAUUUUAAUUAUUUACAUGUGUGGCCCAAAUUAUAGAUUAAUUACAAAAAUUAAUC
rnacentral:lncRNA from 1 species